UACGUAGGGGGCAAGCGUUGUCCGGAUUUAUUGGGCGUAAAGAGCUCGUAGGCGGUUUGGUAAGUCGGGUGUGAAAUCUCCACGCUCAACGUGGAGGGGCCACUCGAUACUGCCAUGACUCGAGUCCGGUAGAGGAGUGUGGAAUUCCCGGUGUAGCGGUGAAAUGCGCAGAUAUCGGGAGGAACACCAGCGGCGAAGGCGACUUUCUGGCUGCUAACUGACGCUGAGACGCGAAAGCUAGGGGAGCGAACGGG
rnacentral:rRNA from 1 species